rnacentral:pre_miRNA from 7 species
UUCUCUAUAAGUCCAGAGCUGGUGAAAGACCCCCGAAGGGAGACCCUCACUCAGACACUCAAGUCCCGGGACAGCCGCGUACCCAAGAAGACACUGAGACCA